UGCUCUUUUCAGCAGCACUACAGUAAAAUUAGAGACAUGGAGAAGAUGAGCAUGGCCCCUGAGGGAGAAUAACAAACUAAUUCAAUUUCAUAUUUUU
rnacentral:snRNA from 1 species